AGUGAACGCUGGCGGUAGGCCUAACACAUGCAAGUCGAACGGCAGCACAGUAAGAGCUUGCUCUUACGGGUGGCGAGUGGCGGACGGGUGAGGAAUACAUCGGAAUCUACUUUUUCGUGGGGGAUAACGUAGGGAAACUUACGCUAAUACCGCAUACGACCUACGGGUGAAAGCAGGGGAUCUUCGGACCUUGCGCGAUUGAAUGAGCCGAUGUCGGAUUAGCUAGUUGGCGGGGUAAAGGCCCACCAAGGCGACGCUCCGUAGCUGGUCUGAGAGGAUGAUCAGCCACACUGGAACUGAGACACGGUCCAGACUCCUACGGGAGGCAGCAGUGGGAAAUAUUGAACAAUGGGGGAAAGCCUGAUCCAGCCAUACCGCGGGGGUGAAGAAGGCCUUCGGGUUGUAAAGCCCUUUUGUUGGGAAAGAAAAGCAGCAGGUUAAUACCCCGCUGUUCGGACGGUACCCAAAGAAUAAGCACCGGCUAACUUCGG
rnacentral:rRNA from 1 species